UACGUAGGGGGCUAGCGUUGUCCGGAAUCAUUGGGCGUAAAGAGCGCGUAGGCGGCCCGGUAAGUCCGCUGUAAAAGUCCAGGGCUCAACCCUGGAAAGCCGGUGGAUACUGUCGGGCUCGAGUCCGGAAGAGGCGAGUGGAAUUCCUGGUGUAGCGGUGGAAUGCGCAGAUAUCAGGAGGAACACCAAUAGCGAAGGCAGCUCGCUGGGACGUUACUGACACUGAGGCGCGAAAGCGUGGGGAGCGAACAGG
rnacentral:rRNA from 1 species